rnacentral:misc_RNA from 1 species
AAUUCUCAACCUUGAAAGGCUUGUCUUUUCAAUGGCUUGGAUGUGAAGGUUUUGCUGGCUUCCUUCAGUGGAUGGUCUGCUCCCUUUAAAAGCAUUAGUGGGAUCCUUUGUGGACGGUCACUUGGUGUGAUAAUUAUCUACGCCGUUUGUACUGUGAAGCAAAACUUGUGGGAACCUGCUUAUAACCGUCUGUAAUGGACAAUUUGAAA